rnacentral:piRNA from 1 species
CGCAUCACGCAGCUGCCGUGCCUCAAGGUA